rnacentral:rRNA from 1 species
UAGGGAAUCUUCCGCAAUGGACGCAAGUCUGACGGAGCAACGCCGCGUGAGUGAAGAAGGAUUUCGGUUCGUAAAACUCUGUUGUUAGAGAAGAACAGCGCAGAGAGUAACUGUUAUGCGUGUGACGGUAUCUAACCAGAAAGGCACGGCUAACUACGUGCCAGCAGCCGCGGUAAUACGUAGGUGGCAAGCGUUGUACGGAUUUAUUGGGCGUAAAGCGAGCGCAGGCGGUCAAUUAAGUCUGAUGUGAAAGCCCCCGGCUCAACCGUGGAGGGUCAUUGGAAACUGGUUGGCUUGAGUGCAGAAGAGGAGAGUGGAAUUCCAUGUGUAGCGGUGAAAUGCGUAGAUAUAUGGAGGAACACCAGUGGCGAAGGCGACUCUCUGGUCUGUAACUGACGCUGAGGCUCGAAAGCGUGGGUAGCAAACAGG